UGCUGGCUUGCCAACAAAUGCCAAUGACACAGGUUCCUUUGGGAAUGUGGUGACUUUUGAGAACAGCACAUCAAUUGAAACAAUUUCAGAAAAUGCUUUUAAGUGGCACUGUGACACGGAACAGUGGCGUUAAGGCUGCCUCUUUUCAAGAAUCCUAGUUUUAACAAGAUGGAUCCACCUUUGCAAAAAAGGUAUAGAUUGCCUGAGGUUCAGAAUACGUUUCAUGGCUUAUAUGAAAACUAGUUUUCCAACGGAAUUCAUGGUCGAACUGCAGGUCAUAAUUGGAAGGCUGACCUGACCAUGACAUUUUGAUUUGGGAAUUUGCUUUUGGGGAUUAAUGCUUAAUUGAGCUGAAUAUUUUUGGACAGUUUCCUAACAUAAGGGAAAAGAGCUGUACAGAAGAUAUCAAGGAGCCAUUUUGACAAAUAUUUUCAUUUUGUCAUUUUGAUCAUAUUGUCAUGAUUUUGGUACUAUUAACACGAUUGAAGGAUUUCAAAGCUGUAAUAUAUUGCUAUUGCUCUUGCUUUCUAGGGAAAGAGCAUAUAGUGCAAAACAAAUGUAAAGCAAUAUGCCUGCAGACAUAGUACCACUUGACAUGUUAAAUGUACAAUUCAA
rnacentral:misc_RNA from 1 species